UACAGAGGGUGCGAGCGUUGUUCGGAAUUAUGGGCGUAAAGCGCUUGUAGGCGGCUUGUUAAGUUCCGUGUGAAAUCCCCAGGCUUAACCUGGGAAGUGCGCGGAAAACUGGCGAGCUUGAGUGCCGGAGAGGGUCGCGGAAUUCCCGGUGUAGGAGGUGAAAUUCGUAGAUAUCGGGAGGAACACCAGUGGCGAAGGCGGCGACCUGGACGGACACUGACGCUGAGACGCGAAAGCGUGGGGAGCAAACAGGAGUUAGAUAACCCCAGAGUUCCCG
rnacentral:rRNA from 1 species